GUGCUGGCUUUGGCAGCGUGUAUGCUGAAAAAGUGGAACAAUACAGAGAAGAUUAGCUGGCCCCUGGAUGACAUGGAGACUUGUGAAGCGUUCCAUGUUUUU
ensembl:snRNA U6 U6 spliceosomal RNA